rnacentral:misc_RNA from 1 species
UAAAAAACAAAGAAAAAGAAGAAUUGUUCCAUUUUAUUUAUUUCUAUAUUUUUGUAUAAAAUGGUUGGAAAAAUUAGCUCUGAUCUUCCUCCUGGAUUUAGGUUUCAUCCAACAGAUGAGGAAUUAAUCAUGUACUAUCUUCGAUAUCAAGCUACUUCAAGGCCAUGCCCUGUCUCAAUUAUCCCCGAAAUUGAUGUCUACAAGUUCGAUCCCUGGGUAUUACCUG